rnacentral:rRNA from 1 species
GACGAACGCUGGCGGCGUGCUUAACACAUGCAAGUCGAACGGUGAUGCUCCAGCUUGCUGGAGUGGAUCAGUGGCGAACGGGUGAGUAACACGUGAGCAACCUGCCCCAGACUCUGGAAUAAGCGCUGGAAACGGCGUCUAAUACUGGAUACGAAACUGGCCCGCAUGGGCAUGGUUUGGAAAGUUUUUCGGUUUGGGAUGGGCUCGCGGCCUAUCAGCUUGUUGGUGGGGUAAUGGCUCACCAAGGCGACGACGGGUAGCCGGCCUGAGAGGGCGACCGGCCACACUGGGACUGAGACACGGCCCAGACUCCUACGGGAGGCAGCAGUGGGGAAUAUUGCACAAUGGGCGAAAGCCUGAUGCAGCGACGCCGCGUGAGGGAUGACGGCCUUCGGGUUGUAAACCUCUUUCAGCAGGGAAGAAGCGAAAGUGACGGUACCUGCAGAAGAAGCACCGGCUAACUACGUG